AUGUACACAAUGGCGAUCGAAAAAUACACACAUUUAAGGCAGUAUUUCUCGAGUUAAAUUUGAAUUGGAAACCUAGGAUUUCGCGAGAGAGCACCGUUGGUGGCAAUCUUCUACGCCAAAGUGCGCAUCUAUCAAGAGAUUAGCAGUUCGUUCAACGCAAGAUUAAGUCAAAGUUCCAAUCAAACAACCAAUGAAAAUGCUCAUCUUACAUCCAUGGACUCCGAAUCCAGCAAACACAUACAAAGCGCAAGACGAUGGCCAUUUAAAGAUAGCCAUCUUUCAGAAUCGCAGAGUUUUGAAGGCAUUUGAACUGAUGCUAGGAUCAUUCAUAAUGUGUUGGCUUGUUUGGUAUCUCGGAAUUUUUCUUUAUUUGAAAUUCUCGGAUAUUUCGAAACGCAUCCCAACUAUACAAACCACAUGCUACAGCUUUUGGUGUUUCUUCCACCACUAACUAAUCCAAUACUUUAUUCGUACUAUAAGCAAGAUUUCCGCGUCGCUUUGCGAUCUUUCCUGAAGAGAGCACGGAAAGGAGCCUGCUUUUAGGAUACUUUUCUUACUUGUUGUUAGUGAAACGAUGAAAAACAUGAGUAUAUUUUUUGUAAGUGUAUUACAAGUUGUAAAUGGCAGGGUGUAGCAUCAAAUUGUAACCAUUAGAAAGUUCUACAACAUAAAAUUUUAGUGUAGAGCUAGAGAACUUUCUUCUCUCUAUUGGUGAUAGCCUUUAAUAAGACUAAGGUUCGAAAGAAAGUUUGGGGGGAAAGGGAGCGCCCUUAUAUUAUAAAAUGUUAAUAUCUGCAUAUACUAAUAAUCGAGUUUUAUCGUAAUAGUGUUCUAAAACAUGAAUGGCAGUAUAAAUUUGUAUGUCUUCCGUUAUAUAUAGUGUCAAUCAAUAUGUUGUAUCUAUAAAUAUAGCUACAUUGUAACAAUUAAUUUAUAAUGUAUUAUUCAAUAUAAAUAUUUUCAUCAACCAA